rnacentral:rRNA from 1 species
CCUACGGGAGGCAGCAGUAGGGAAUCUUCCACAAUGGACGAAAGUCUGAUGGAGCAACGCCGCGUGUGUGAUGAAGGGUUUCGGCUCGUAAAACACUGUUAUAAGAGAAGAACGUCAGUGAGAGUAACUGUUCAUUGAGUGACGGUAUCUUAUCAGAAAGGGACGGCUAAAUACGUGCCAGCAGCCGCGGUAAUACGUAUGUCCCAAGCGUUAUCCGGAUUUAUUGGGCGUAAAGCGAGCGCAGGCGGUUAUUUAAGUCU